rnacentral:misc_RNA from 1 species
GACAACAGCAGCAGGAAUAGAUUGCAAGCCAGGUGUGACAACAGCAGGAAUAGAUUGCAAGACAGGUGUGACAACAGCAUCAGAACUAGAUUGUGAGCCAGCUGUGACAACUGCCACAGGAAUAGAUUGUGAACUGGGUGUAACAGAAACUGAAGGGGUUGUAGGCUGAGGACUAGGAGUAAUCCCUAUACUAGAUUGAGGUGUCACUCCACUAGUUCCCCCUAAAUUAGAAGAACCAAUUGAAGAAUUAGGAGCAAAGGAUUUUAAUGAGCUAGACUCGAUCCUUUUCUGCAACCCCACAUCCACUUUCCCAUUUCCAGAAGGUGCUGGAAGUGCCAUGGCAGUUGGAGAUUUAUCUGAAAUUGUUCUUCUCGGCCUUCCACGUCCCCGCUUUGAUGGUGGAGUAACCUCUUUGCUUUGUUGCAACAGUGGAGGCUCCACAGAUUGUGGUGAAGGGAGUGGUGGGAGUAUGGCCUGAGCUUCUGUGGUAUGAAUAGCCACCAAAGGCACACUAGCAUCCUUUGGCAUGUUCUUCUCUAUUAUUUCUUCCUUCACUUUAGGUGAUUCAGGAGAGUCAACCUGACACAUCUUUUCAAAUUCCUCUUCUGUCCAUUGCUCUUCAUAGGAACGCACCUCUCUUGCUCGUUUUCCCCUUCCAUAUUGCUGAGUAUCAAGGCCCCCAAGCUUCUGUCCCUUCCGCUUCACCCCAACAUUAGGUACUACCUCUGCCUUUGGUACAUCAUACAACUUCAUCACUUCAUAGAAUGAUUUCAAGUCAUCAUCUGUUACAAGGCGAGAAGGCAGGGGUGGUAGAGGCUCAGUAGCAUUCAACCCCUGUCCCAAUAGCAAACUCUUCCAUGUUGCCAUCUCUUUUUCCCUUCUCUGUUUGUCAACCAAUUCAAACACAUCAAUCUCUGACUCACUGCGGGCUAAUAAAUCAUUUAGUGCAUCAUCAUCUAAUACAGGGGCAGCUUCCUCUUUCUUACACUCCCGUAGAAGCGCCUCCAAGUAUUCCCUCCGGUCUUCCGCACUUGUAUUAUUGUCAAAGAAACCAGCAGUAAUGCUCUGAUUAGCAACUCCCAAUUUAUGCUCAGCUGAAGCUCUGACUUGUUCUUCAACGGUUUGGACAGUUUCAAAUCGAAGAACAAGCACAUCCCUCUUCUGACCAAUCCUAUGGGCCCUUGCUUGUGCUUGAAGAUCCACCUGAGGGUUCCAGUCAGUAUCAAAUAUGAUCACAGUAUCAGCAGCUUGCAGAUUCACUCCAACGCCACCAGCCCGAAUGCUAACACCACAUAUUAAACAUCAGUCUUAUGGAAAUUAAUCAACUAUAAGCAUGUUGCAGUUAAUAUUCACACACACAGCACAUUACAAAGUUUUCAUCAUCUACCAUUAUCAUUAUCAACAAUAUCAAUAUUACAAAAUUGAAACAAUAACAAAAUGUACAUAGCUUUUAGAGAUUAUCAUGUCUAAUCAUAUCAUCAGCUAAUUGCAUAAAACAGCAUAAAAGCACACAAUUUCUUAAAUGCAGAAUCUCCAAUGUGCCAAUGGUUAUAUUAAAUGCAGAUUUCAUUCCUUAAUAUCCAAUCUCAUAGUGUACUCUAUUAUUUGGAAAGAAAUAUUGGGGGAAAAAAGUCCCAGAACUCAUCAAACAUCCAUAUUGAGAGUUUCCCACCUGCCCCCUCUAGUAUGCAUAUUCCACUUCCGCAAUCAUGAAAAUGCAUAAAUAGCCAGACAACAUGCCUAGCAACAAAAACAGAGAAUUUUCCCUUUUCAAUCUCAAGCUCUACAAUGUCAUAAGCCUGCAAUGUGGCCUCCGUACCUGUUCAACUGUUCCUUGACUAAUCCAACCAUCAAGCAUACAUAACAAACAGAUUACCUGAGCAGAAAUAUAAAAUAGGGAGAAUCUGUUUGGUUAAAUUGUUCAAUAAGGGAACCACGAUCAUUCCCCGAAGUAUGACCAUCCAAGCGGAGGUACCGAUACUUCUUCAUUGUGAGAUACUCCUCCAUUACAUCAAGCAGCCUAGUCAUUGUCGAAAAGAAAAGAACCUGCAUGGUCCCAGAAAUACUAGAAAUUUUCAUAGCAAUAGAAUGAUGCCAGACUUCCAAAAAUAAUGGACAAUGAAAGUAGACAUAAGAGCCAAAGUACUCGCAUAAAUGAAGAAAACCAAGUACGAUUUUUAGCAAGCAUUUCAAUAGGAUGAAGAAAGAUGUAAUAAGAAAAAAUCUAGAACUUCCUAACUGCACGAGGCAAGUAGCACCACCACCUCAAAGAGAAAGGAACCAUCCACUGAACAAAUUAAGCACCAUGUGAAACUAACCACACGUCAAUCCUUUAAUAACAUUGUAAACAAAUUAAAUAGUAACAAAAGGGAAAACAACCUCCUAACAUUCAUAUUCUAUUUCUAUCCUACUUUGAAUAGCAGCACCAAAAUAUUAAAGAUGUACUGCAAUGCGCAAUCCUGCCAGGCAUUAGAACAAUACAACACAUAUCAACUUCUAGCAAACAUCAAAUGGAAAAAUGCAAAUGAGGAAAUUCAUACCCUAUGGUCUGUUGCUUUCAGUUUAGGAAGUAAUCGAUCUAACAUCUCGAGCUUUCCACAAAGCCUAAUAAUUGGCGGUAGAAAAUGCUUAGGUAUCAAAUUAUCGACCUACAAUAGGUUAACCCAAAACAAGACUUAUGUUAAAAGAGGGAAAAAAAAUCAAAGAAAAUGGAGUGAAAUCACAAGAUUCAGCUCCCAAAAUAAUAAAUGAGAAAAAAAGAGAUGAAAGUGUUUCACAAAGUUUGAAUAUCUUUGAUAAUAAAUUUCAAGAUUCAAAGUAAGCCUGAUUAAAUGGGAAGAAAGCAUGCCUCGUCCACAUGAAGCUGGCUAAGAUAUGGAUGGUUGCAGAUAUUACGGAGUUCCAUAACCGAGUUGUGCACUGACCGAGCCUUUGAGUUUCCAAUUGAACCAAGAUUUUCUUCUACCCUCUUCAUCAAAAGCUUCUGAUAUGCAGAAGCAUCACACCUUACAAGUCUCUCUAUCUUUUCAGGCAGCUGAUUCUCAACCUUAUGUUUCAGUCUACGAAGUACAAAUGGCCGAAGAACUUGAUGAAGACGGUUUAUGAUCAACAAAUUCUCCUCUUCAGAUAGUAAAGCCUAGACACACAUAGCCAGAGAUGAGAAAAUAAAAGCAUUCAGUAUGAUGAAGCAAGAAUAAAAAGAAGGCAUAAUAGAGUGAAACACCAUUCUUGAAUGUAGAAUAAGUGAAAAAGCUCACUUCAUCAGGUGAAUUAUCACCAUUACUCUGAAAUGGUUUGUUGAACCACUGAGAAAAAUCCUCUGACGAAUUAAAAAUGUUAGGCAACAGAAAGUUAAGUAGUGCCCACAAUUCCUCAAGAUUAUUCUGCAUCAGAGAGAAAUUAAAACAAGUCAGUAAAUCAAAUCCAUGCCAAAAUAAAAACAUUAAAUGGGUUGAAUAACCAUAAAGAAUGAGACACAGGAAGACAGAACCUUAGAUGGUUAGACCAAUGAGGAAAAACUGUCACCUGUAGUGGUGUUCCAGUUAAUAGCAAUCUGUGUGCACUCUGAUAGUGUUUCAAGUCGGCAUUCAAUUUGCAAGAAGCAUUCUUUAUGCGAUGACCUUCAUCAAUUAUAAUAUAAUGCCAAUGUAUUUUACUCAAUUUUGGUCUGUCGUGCUUGUUCAUCAGAUACUCAUAUGUUGUUAGAAGGACGUUGAAUUUCUGAUGCACAAUUUGUUCCCUGAAAUACAAAUGAGCAAUCAUACUUAUCAACACAGAAAAACAAAAAGGAAUUAAAAGAAAAGGACGGUCUCUUG